UCUUGCUUAAGGCGUUACUCUGUUUGUUAUGAACUCAAUACACUAGAUGCAUGCUGGAUAGCGGUCGAUGUGCGGAGUAAUAGUAGUAGAUGCUGACAAUAUCGGUCUACUUGUCUCGGACGUGAUGCCUAUAUGUAUGAUCAUUGCCUUAGAUAUCAUCAUGACUUUGCGCGGUUUUAUCAAUUGAUCGACAGUAAUUCAUUCACCCACUGUAAUACUUGCUAUCAUGAGAGAAACCCCUAGUGAACACUAUGGCCCCCGGGUCUGCUUCACAUCAUAUUUUCAGCUCUACACUUUUACUUUGUUGCACUUUCCACCUUUAGAUCUCACCUUGCAAUUAAUCGUGAAGGGAUUGACAACCCCUUUAU
rnacentral:lncRNA from 1 species